GCUGUGCCUGUGACAACAGGGCACAGAGAAAGUAGCUAUUUCUAUGCUCAGUGUUCAGAAUCCUGUGAGCCCUAAGAAUGGUUUAUAGCCUGACAUU
rnacentral:snoRNA from 1 species